GAUAGCUCCUUCAGCAUGUUUUAGUUCCCUCCUUACCAGAGUAGGAAAGGUGUUCAGACUCACUUGCAACUGAGUGGACUUUCUUCAGGCCAGUGUCUCUGUGGCUUAAAAAACCAUCUUCUCACAGUGGCUGAAAAGAGAAGCUGUGGCACUUUUACCUACUAGGUAAAUCUCUCUUUCCCUGAUGAGGAGACCCCAAAUGAAGGUUCAGAGUUGUUCAUUUUGGAUGGAUCAUGGAAACCCCUCCGGCUUUUGGAAGCAGGCAGUCGAUAGCGUUAUCCUGCCAUCUUCUUUUUAACAUUCAAUCCAGCGAACACUUUAAGCUUUAAUAAACAUCUUCUCCUUUAAUAGUGUUGACUCCAAGCUAAUAAGGCAACUAACGAAUCAAGUGAAGGUAAAUUUCUCAUUAACAAUUUAUUUAACUUUGUUGAAGAGAGCAAUUCCAACUUCUGCUAAUUGAGUUUGUAACAAAAAGAUGGAUCCAUUUUACUACCACCCUCAGGACCUUCAUCAAACUCUGAGAAAGUAUUGAAAAGUUCCCAGUGGCAUGGCUGGUUGCCUGGGCUACAGUGUUGUGCUGACAGCUCCAGUCCUUUUCCUGGCAGCUGAAGACCCAAAGACAGUGACCAAUGAGAGGGUGGCAUUCUCCUCUGAACUUUUCAUUAGGCUGGUGAUUCAUCUUGAGACCCACAUUUUAUGAAGGCUGUGAAUUCCAUGCAAUGUAGCUGUUGAGGUGUCUACAUUCAAAUUGGAUUCCAUUAAGUUUAUGGCGUGAUUAAAUGUCUGAAUCAUAAGGAGUCAGGGUUGAAUUUAUGUGCCUUCUGAAAGCACUUUUGAAGACUGGCAGCUUAGAUGAGUGUAAUUUGAUGCAUGGAAUCAGAAGAACAAACCUAAAGAGACAUCAACUCAAAUAUAACAAGGAUCUGAGGAUUGAGGAUCCAGUGUGGCCUGUGGUUGUCCAGACUGAGUUCACUUCCAAAAGAUUUCCUUCAACAGAUGUUGUCAAAGGAACAGUUCUAGGUCCUAUAAGUUUCCAAGGCUUUUUGUGGAAUCUGAAUUAUUGGAAAUUAACUACAAAACUGGUUUUGUGACUGGUGGCACCGCAUGGUAAUACAUUUUUGCAAAAAAGACCUUCCGCCUAUGAUAUGAGAUAAGACACGAGAAGCGUUUCUAUUUAAAUUCAUUUCCUAUUAUUUCAACAUAAAUACCAAACAGCUCGACAAGAAUGUGAGAAGAUGGAGAUUGAGCUCCUUUAUGAUUGCUGCAUGGUAGUAAGUAAGGACCCAGGCGGAUGGCAUUUCCUUUCUGAGGACAUCAGCUCUGGCCCUGUAGCACCUCCUGGUGUGAGGAGGCCUGAUACGCCAGCGCAACACAAGAGUGCCGCCUACUGAAGGACUGGUUUUGUUUGAUUAAGAACCAAGAUUAUCCUCAGUUAUCUGAAAGAAACCAACCACCUGGUUCAAACAAGUCUCAUUUAUGAAGUAUUAGAUCAAAUGGAUUGUUGCUGGGCUGGUUGGUGACACUGAUUGAAAACAUGCCAUGUUUGUCAUACUUACUUGAACAAUGUGUAAAUUACAUGGCAAUAAUCAUUUAUAAAGAUGAGAGAGAAUGUUUCAUGUAUACUUUUAGGGCUCUUACUGUAAAAUAUUAAUUAUUUUAUUGCAUUCUCAAAGUAUGACUGGCAAUGCCAGAAAUAUUAUUUGUUUCUUUACAUUUCCUGUAAAGAUAUCAAUAUCAAUCCUACAGGUCUUCAAAAGUUCAGCUAAUCUACCAGCUCCCCCUUAAAUAUUUCAUAUUUUUUUUUCUCAGAAAACAAGGCAGUCUAUGUUUCUAAAACUCUCAUAUAUACAAUCAUGUUUAGCAUACCUUUACUGAGCAUGCACUAAUGAGACAAGUACUGCUUAGGCCCUGGGGAUUCAGACACAACUAAUACACAUUCCUCGACUUUCAAGGAGGUCACAAUCUAGUGUGUGGGUGGGUGGGGCUUGUAGAGAUGACAUACACAGUAAAUUGCAGAGUGAAAUAAUUAUUAGAAGUAUAUGUAGGGUGUCCUAGAAAUUUAGAGGAAAGAACUAUCUCAUUGUGGUGGAAGGGAAGAGGGAAAGAGAUUCAGGGAAAAUGUAAAAGAGAUAGUGCCUGAAUUAAAUCCGAAAGAAUAAAUAAUGCUAGCAAGCAGAUGGGGUGAGAUAGAGAGGGAAAAAUCCCAGACAGAGAGAUAGACAGGGAAAGUGGCCUUUACAAAAACAGAGAGAGUAAGAAGCACAUUCCCAGAUAAGAGAUGUACACAGUGUUGGUGAAAAGCUGGGGUCACAUGGGUCUGGGUUUAGUCCCAGCUCUAGUGUUUAUUAACUACAUAACCUUUGGGCAAGUCAUUUAAUUUCCUAUGUGCCUUGUGUUUGCCACUUGUCACAUGGGGCAAGUAACAUGCUAACUGGCAUUUAAUUGGUAGAACCCAUUUUGGGGGGGAUUUUGUGGGAAAUUAUAUCAAAAAUUCAAAGCUGAGAGCUAUGGAAAUGAAAAUGAUUAUGUAGAAGUCUAACAACAAAAUGAAAUUUUGUUUGAUGACUGCUAAUGUUUUAAAAAUUUACAUGUUUUAAAUUUAAAAUGUGGUUUGUAGUCUUUUGGAGUAAGUCAUGUCUAAGAAGUAAGUGUAUGUUUGUCUUUUGCUAUAGCUACAUUGAAAUGAUGGGGAAAAAAUAAAAAAAGAAAUCAAAGGAUUUGUUUUCCAUAUGUCCCAAUAAUAGCCAGCAAUUUUUAAAAUAAGUUUAGUAAAAGUUAGAACAAUGCAGUUCCCUCAUCCUUUGCUGAGAGGAAGCCUACUUGAUUAAUGUAAUUAAAGGGUUGCUUGUAACUCAAGACUCAAUUAAAAAAAUAAAUUUGGCCUUAUUACUUU